GAUAACUGGCUUGUAGCAGCCAAGCAUUCAUAGUGACGUUGCUUUUUGAUCUGUCGAUGUCGGCUCUUCCUAUCAUUGCGAAGCAGAAUUUGCCAAGUGUUGAAUUGUUCACUGAUGAGACUAAAAUGUACCCUACUUUUAUCCCCUAA
rnacentral:ncRNA from 1 species